UUCUGCAUAAACUAUUCCUUG
rnacentral:tRNA from 1 species